GUCAUCUGCCCAAUGAAUAAUUAAAUGGCUGCAGUAUAAAUAACUGUACAAAGGUAGCAUAAUCAAUUGAUUUUUAAAUGAAAUCUGGAAUAAAAGAAUUAAUGAAAUAUAUACUGUCUCAUAUAUAUAAUAUAAAUUUAAAUUUUUAAUAAAAAUGUUAAAAUUUAUUUAUGGGACGAUAAGACCCUAUAGAAUUUUAUAUUAAAUUAUUUUUAUAAAUAUUAAAUAUAAAAUUUAAAUUAAUAUUUAAUUGGGAGAAUUAUUAAAUUUAAAAAAUUUUAAUUAAAAAAAACUUUAAUUAAAGAAUAUAUUUUGAUCUUUAAAUUAAAAUUAAUAGAAUAAAUUACCUUAGGGAUAACAGCGUUAUAUUUUUUUAUAGAUCACAUAGAAAAAAAUGAUUGCGACCUCGAUGUUGAAUUAAGAUAAAUUUUAAAUGUAGAAAUUUAAUAAUUAAGUCUGUUCGACUUUUAAAAUCUUACAUGAUUUGAGUUCAAAUCGACGUAAGU
rnacentral:rRNA from 1 species